rnacentral:rRNA from 1 species
GACGAACGCUGGCGGUGUGCUUAACACAUGCAAGUCGAACGGAAAGGCCCUGCUUUUGUGGGGUGCUCGAGUGGCGAACGGGUGAGUAACACGUGAGUAACCUGCCCUUGACUUUGGGAUAACUUCAGGAAACUGGGGCUAAUACCGGAUAGGAGCUCCUGCUGCAUGGUGGGGGUUGGAAAGUUUCGGCGGUUGGGGAUGGACUCGCGGCUUAUCAGCUUGUUGGUGGGGUAGUGGCUUACCAAGGCUUUGACGGGUAGCCGGCCUGAGAGGGUGACCGGCCACAUUGGGACUGAGAGACGGCCCAGACUCCUACGGGAGGCAGCAGUGGGGAAUAUUGCACAAUGGGCGGAAGCCUGAUGCAGCAACGCCGCGUGCGGGAUGACGGCCUUCGGGUUGUAAACCGCUUUCGCCUGUGACGAAGCGUGAGUGACGGUAAUGGGUAAAGAAGCACCGGCUAACUACGUG